GUCCACGCCCUAAACGAUGUCGACUAGUUGUUCGGUGCAGCAAUGCGCUGGGUAACGCAGCUAACGCGUGAAGUCGACCGCCUGGGGAGUACGGCCGCAAGGUUAAACUCAAAGGAAUUGACGGGGACCCGCACAAGCGGUGGAUGAUGUGGAUUAAUUCGAUGCAACGCGAAAACCUUACCUACCCUUGACAUGCCAGGAACCUUGGUGAGAGCCGAGGGUGCCUUCGGGAGCCUGGACACAGGUGCUGCAUGGCUGUCGU
rnacentral:rRNA from 1 species